UACGUAGGCAGCGAGCGUUGUUCGGAGUUACUGGGCGUAAAGAGUGUGUAGGCGGUGCUCUAAGUUCGGUGUGAAAUCUCCCGGCUUAACUGGGAGGGUGCGCCGGAAACUGGAGUGCUCGAGCGUGGGAGAGGAAAGCGGAAGUUCCUGGUGUAGCGGUGAAAUGCGUAGAUAUCAGGAGGAACGCCUGCGGUGUAGACGGCUUUCUGGACCAUUGCUGACGCUGAGACACGAAAGCGUGGGUAGCAAACAGG
rnacentral:rRNA from 1 species